rnacentral:rRNA from 1 species
UGGGGAAUAUUGCACAAUGGGCGCAAGCCUGAUGCAGCCAUGCCGCGUGUGUGAAGAAGGCCUUCGGGUUGUAAAGCACUUUCAGCGGGGAGGAAGGCGAUAAGGUUAAUAACCUUGUCGAUUGACGUUACCCGCAGAAGAAGCACCGGCUAACUCCGUGCCAGCAGCCGCGGUAAUACGGAGGGUGCAAGCGUUAAUCGGAAUUACUGGGCGUAAGGCGCACGCAGGCGGUCUGUCAAGUCGGAUGUGAAAUCCCCGGGCUCAACCUGGGAGAUGAGUUGGAAACUGGGAGGCAGGAGGCGUGUAGAGGAGGGUAGAAUUCCAGGUGUAGCGGUGAAAUGCGUAGAGAUCUGGAGGAAUACCGGUGGCGAAGGCGGCCGCCUGGACAAAGACUGACGCUCAGGUGCGAAAGCGUGGGGGGCAAACAGG